AAUCCCAGCGCUCAGGAGCCAGAAG
rnacentral:piRNA from 1 species